rnacentral:rRNA from 1 species
GAUAGGCCGGAGAUGUAAGCACGGUAACGUGUUGAGUUGACCGGUACUAAUAGGCCGAGGGCUUAACCAC